CUACGGGACGCUCCAGUGAGGAAUAUUGCACAAUGGGGGGAACCCUGAUGCAGCAACGCCGCGUGGAGGAUGACGCAUUUCGGUGUGUAAACUCCUUUUAUAUGUCAAGAAAAUGACGGUAGCAUAUGAGUAAGCGCCGGCUAACUCCGUGCCAGCAGCCGCGGUAAUACGGAGGGCGUAAGCGUUACUCGGAAUCACUGGGCGUAAAGGACGCGUAGGCGGGUUGGAAAGUCAGGUGUGAAAUCCUACAGCUUAACUGUAGAACUGCACUUGAAACUUCUAAUCUAGAGUAUGGGAGGGGGAGAUGGAAUUAGUGGUGUAGGGGUAAAAUCCGUAGAUAUCACUAGGAAUACCUAAAGCGAAGGCGAUCUCCUGGAACAUUACUGACGCUAAGGCGUGAAAGCGUGGGGAGCAAACAGGAUUAGAUACCCCCGUAGUC
rnacentral:rRNA from 1 species